rnacentral:tRNA from 1 species
UGCCCACUCGUUCAAUGGUAGGACAGCUGCCUCUGGAGCAGCAUAUUGGGGUUCGAAUCCCUGGUGGGCAGCCA